AUACGGAGGGUGCAAGCGUUGUUCGGAAUCACUGGGCGUAAAGGGCGCGCAGGCGGUUUGGUAAGUCAGAUGUGAAAGCCCACGGCUCAACCGUGGAAGUGCAUUUGAAACUGUCAGACUUGAGUACUAGAGGGGAAAGUGGAAUUCCCGGUGUAGAGGUGAAAUUCGUAGAUAUCGGGAGGAAUACCGGUGGCGAAGGUGACUUUCUGGCUAGAUACUGACGCUGAGGCGCGAAAGCGUGGGGAGCAAACAGGAUUAGAAACCCUAGUAGUCC
rnacentral:rRNA from 1 species